GACUACAGGGGUAUCUAAUCCUGUUUGCUCCCCACGCUUUCGCGCCUCAGCGUCAGUUAAUGUCCAGCAGGCCGCCUUCGCCACUGGUGUUCCUCCGUAUAUCUACGCAUUUCACCGCUACACACGGAAUUCCGCCUGCCUCUCCAUCACUCAAGAAGAACAGUUUCAAAUGCAGGUUAUGGGUUGAGCCCAUAAUUUUCACAUCUGACUUGCACUCCCGCCUACACGCCCUUUACACCCAGUAAAUCCGGAUAACGCUUGCCACCUACGUAUUACCGCGGCUGCUGGCACGUAGUUAGCCGUGGCUUAUUCAAGAGGUACCGUCAUUUGUUUCGUCCCUCUUAAAAGAAGUUUACAACCCGAGGGCCUUCUUCCUUCACGCGGCGUUGCUGGGUCAGGCUUUCGCCCAUUGCCCAAUAUUCCCCACUGCAGCCCCCCGUAGG
rnacentral:rRNA from 1 species